rnacentral:misc_RNA from 1 species
GAUGAAGAACGUAGCGAAAUGCGAUACUUGGUGUGAAUUGCAGAAUCCCGUGAACCAUCGAGUCUUUGAACGCAAGUUGCGCCUCAAGCCAUUAGGUUGAGGGCACGUCUGCCUGGGCGUCACAUAUCGUUGCCUGAUGCCAGUUUCUUCGUGAUGGGUGACUGUGCAGGGCGAAUGAUGGCUUCCCGUGAGCAUUGUUGCCCCAUGGUUGGUUGAAAAUUGAGUCCUUGGUAGGGAGCGCCGUGAUAGAUGGUGGUUGAGUGACGAACGAGACCCAAUCAUGUGAGACCCCUACCGAAUUUGGCCUUCAUGACCCACAUGCGUCUUUGGAACGCUCAUGACGAGACCUCAGGUCAGGCGGGGCUACCCGCUGAGUUUAAGCAUAUCAAUAAGCGGAGGA